AUGAGUGAAGAGAUGAAGCUUGAGUGGACUGUUGCAUUUGCAUUGAGAGGAGAUGCUCUUGAUUGGUGGAUUUCUUGGAAGGAGAAUCAUCCAAAUACUUGCAGUGAAAUUCAAGAACCAACUGAAGAAAAGAUUGGUGGUAAAGUUGAUGACUCACAAAUCCAAGUAUAUAGUGAAAAAGAAGUUUGUAAAGUAGAUAUCAAAUCCUGA